UACGGAGGGUGCAAGCGUUAUCCGGAUUCACUGGGUUUAAAGGGUGCGUAGGUGGGUUGGUAAGUCAGUGGUGAAAUCUCCGGGCUUAACUCGGAAACUGCCGUUGAUACUAUCAAUCUUGAAUAUCGCGUAGGUAAGCGGAAUAUGUCAUGUAGCGGUGAAGUGCUUAGAUAUGACAUAGAACACCAAUUGCGAAGGCAGCUUACUUCACGAUCAUUGACACUGAGGCACGAAAGCGUGGGGAGCAAACAGG
rnacentral:rRNA from 1 species